ACGGAAGGCAGCAGUGGGGAAUAUUGGUCAAUGGGGGCAACCCUGAACUAGCGACGCCGCGUGAGUGAAGAAGUAUUUCGGUAUGUAAAGCUCUAUCAGCAGGGAAGAUAAUGACAGUACCUGACUAAGAAGCACCGGCUAAAUACGUGCCAGCAGCCGCGGUAAUACGUAUGGUGCAAGCGUUAUCCGGAUUUACUGGGUGUAAAGGGAGCGUAGGCGGCCUGGCAAGUCUGAUGUGAAAACCCGGGGCUUAACCUCGGGAUUGCAUUGGAAACUGUCGGACUUGAGUGUCGGAGAGGAAAGCGGAAUUCCUAGUGUAGCGGUGAAAUGCGUAGAUAUUAGGAGGAACACCGGUGGCGAAGGCGGCUUACUGGACUGUAACUGACGUUGAGGCUCGAAAGCGUGGGGAGCAAACAGGAUUAGAUACCCUGGUA
rnacentral:rRNA from 1 species